rnacentral:misc_RNA from 1 species
UUUUCAUUUUCAAUCCUCCCUGCUCUACUCUUCUCUUCUGGUCCGUUUCUAUAGCCUUUUUAGAUCCCCAAUUCCUCCAAUAUCACCUAUAUAUAUACACAUAUACAUAUCUGUGUGACUGUCUCCAUUGGAUACCAGUUUGGGUGUUUUUAACCGAGCCUAAAAGAAUCAUGUUUCUAUUAGAUUGGUUCUAUGGAGUUCUUGCAUCUCUUGGAUUAUGGCAAAAAGAGGCCAAGAUUCUUUUCUUGGGUCUUGACAAUGCCGGCAAGACUACUCUCCUUCACAUGUUGAAAGAUGAGAGACUGGUACAGCACCAGCCGACCCAGCACCCAACAUCCGAGGAGUUGAGCAUAGGGAAGAUCAAGUUCAAGGCUUUCGAUUUGGGUGGUCACCAGAUCGCUCGCCGUGUUUGGAAAGAUUACUAUGCUAAGGUAGUCAUAAUUUCCUGAUUUUUCUGAAUCACUUUCAAUAUGCUUUUUUUAAUGUUUAUUUAUGCAUUUUUGGCUUGAUUCUUGAGGAUAGAUUCUCGUUUUAACUUUGAAUAAGUAGAUUUAUUGCAUGAAAAUUUGUAUAAAUCUAACGUCUCUUUAAUCAUUGGAUUUGACGCUUCAGUUUUAAGAGUUCCAUGAUCUAUUAUGUAUGGAAAUCAAUUUUGACCAUUUCAUGGGUUAGACCCUUGUAAUUGUGUUCUGUUGUAGCUCCUGAGGUGUUAAAUCUAGUACAUUUAUAGUCCGUUCAUCAUUUAUUUGUCCUCUCACUUCAUUGGUAAGAACUGGUUCUUCACUCAUUUUCAAUGGAAUGAAGGCAUUUGAACCUUUCUGGUCGUCUUCUUUCCUGUGCAGCAUUGAUGUGGGAUAGAUCUGGUUCCCAUCUGAAUUGUUUCAAAAUAUUAUGUCUUUAUUUUCUUGUUUGCUGUUACCAACUGUAAAUAAAUUUUUAACUUAUGGAGAUAUAGAUGAAAUCUGGGCUUUUAUGUAGUUUCCAAACUAUUUGUUGCAACUUCUAUUUCUUUUCUAUGUAUAUUUCAAAAUAUAAUUUUCAAUUUGUUAAAUUGCUUUAAAUAUAAGGCUUGCCUGGUUUAUCUCUCUUUCAUUUGUUGUUCCUUCAUAAUCCCAGAUAAGCUUUCCUGGUGUUUAUCUGAUUCAUGGGAGGCCAAUAUGGAGGAAGUUUCUCUGAUAGCACCUUUUUUUACUUCUAGGAGGGUCUUUUAAUUUUAGCUUUCCACAUAAAGCUUAUUUCAUAGCCCUUAUGAAAGACAUUAGAAAUUGUUUUCAGAAAGAAAAUUUAACUUAACAGUUUUGAGGAUUAUUAAGAUCUUCUGAAACCUUUACUGCUGGGGGCAUUUGCAAUAUCUUCUGAAAAGUUUGAAGAUAAAAUUGAAGUAUUGAAUUAUUCCUUUCACAUGAUUGGGUGAUUGAUUUAUCAUGUUUCUGUUGACUCAAAAGGUUGGAGCUGUUUCCUGCACCUGUUUAAUUCUUAAAUCUCAUUUGAAGCAGAAUUAUAUGAGGUGUUCAUUUCAUCUGGUAUUAGGAUAGUUAUUAUUUUGUAGCUUGCCCAAUUCUUGUAGAUAAUGUUAUGUCAGAUAGUAGAACCCAAGCAACAUUUUUCUCCGUGAUCAGGUGGAUGCAGUGGUUUACCUUGUGGAUGCGUAUGACAAGGAGAGGUUUGCAGAAUCAAAAAAGGAAUUGGAUGCCCUCCUUUCAGAUGAAGUCCUGGCCAAUGUUCCUUUUCUCAUUCUUGGCAAUAAGAUUGACAUCCCCUAUGCAGCUUCUGAGGAUGAGCUUCGUUAUCACCUCGGGCUUACCAAUUUCACAACUGGCAAGGGGAAGGUGAAUCUAACAGACUCCAAUGUUCGCCCCCUUGAAGUUUUCAUGUGCAGUAUCGUCCGCAAGAUGGGAUAUGGUGAUGGCUUCAAGUGGCUCUCUCAAUAUAUUAAGUAAGGUAAUUGUCAGGAAGACAUUUGGCAGAACCACCAAAGCCCCCAACCCAGCACGCCCUGUACUACCAGAAAAGUUGUGCUCAUCCCCCCAUGUUUAAAUUGGAAGUAUUGUGAUCUGGAUCUGUGUGGAAGGAGGUAUUAAUAUCACUGCUCUGUAAAAUUUACUUGUGGCAGCGAGUUAUUCUUUGCUCUUGUAGUUUGUCAAUUGAGUUUCGCCAUCUCUUGCUGUAGUGUUGUUACGGUAAAGCCAGAAAAUUGAAAUUUUUAUUGUAGUUAUGUUUGUCUGCAAUGACGCAUUAUGGAAUGUAUUCAUUUGGUUGUAUCUUAUGUGGCUACGAUGUCAUUGUUGAAUGUAUUUAAUUUGAUUAUAUCUUUAGACCAGAAGAUGCUGGAAGAUAUCUUGUGCCGCAUGAAGUUUGUUUACGGUCACGGCCGCUAAACUGUCCUCAUUAAAAAUGAGUUUUAAUCUAGAUUUUCAGAUUUGGGUGGUAUCAAAACUGGUGAAAUUAAG